GGCAGCUGCCAUGUUAGGAGGAAACCCAAGAAGCUCUACAGAGAGGCCCACAGGAUGGGAAACUGAGGUCUCCUGCCAGUGGCCAACAAGGAACUGAGGUUGGCCAAGCUGUAAUCAUCAAGAAAAAUCCAUAGAGAAGAUGACCUUUGAGGAAAGACUUGGAGGUGGUGAGGAAGCAAGCCCACUGGUGAUAUGGAAAAGAACAUUCCAGAAAGAAGGAGCCAGCAAGUGCAAAGGCCCUGAGGUCAACUGCUAUCACCCUCACCGUGGAAUCCAUGGUGGCAAGAUGGCCUCCGGCCUUGGAAUGAAGCAACACAAAGCAUUGUCACUGAAAUCUUCCACCUGUGGUGACACAUGUCACUUCUGCCACAUUUCAUUGACAAGUCCUGCAGCUCAACCAGUGUCAGAGAAGACAUGACCUGCCGCCUCCCUAGUGAACAGCACGGCAAGUCGGCGGGACACUGUGCCACAUCACCCCCCUCAUGGCAGCCCUGUCUGUGUCCGCUUCAGCUUCGGCUGCCGGAUCAGCAACGCAGGCUGGACCUUUCCCCACCUUCAAGAGCCCGGAAGUUUGAGAGCAGGGUUCCUGUGUGACCAGUUCCGGGGGGAGCUCUCUUUCUGGUCUGUAGACAGAUGUUUUCUCUCCAUAAACUCACAUGGCCUUUC